AGCUUGCUUACUAGAGACCGGCGCACGGGUGCGUAACGCGUAUGCAAUCUACCUUAUACAGGGGAAUAGCCCAGAGAAAUUUGGAUUAAUGCCCCAUGGUAUUAUGAAAUCGCAUGGUUUUAUAAUUAAAGUUCCAACGGUAUAAGAUGAGCAUGCGUCCCAUUAGUUAGUUGGUAAGGUAACGGCUUACCAAGACGAUGAUGGGUAGGGGUCCUGAGAGGGAGAUCCCCCACACUGGUACUGAGACACGGACCAGACUCCUACGGGAGGCAGCAGUGAGGAAUAUUGGGCAAUGGAGGCAACUCUGACCCAGCCAUGCCGCGUGCAGGAAGACGGUCCUAUGGAUUGUAAACUGCUUUUAUACGGGAAGAAACACCCCCUCGUGAGGGGGCUUGACGGUACCGUAAGAAUAAGGAUCGGCUAACUCCGUGCCAGCAGCCGCGGUAAUACGGAGGAUCCAAGCGUUAUCCGGAAUCAUUGGGUUUAAAGGGUCCGUAGGCGGCCUUAUAAGUCAGUGGUGAAAUCUUCCAGCUCAACUGGGAAACUGCCAUUGAUACUGUAGGGCUUGAAUUAUUGUGAAGUAACUAGAAUAUGUAGUGUAGCGGUGAAAUGCUUAGAUAUUACAUGGAAUACCAAUUGCGAAGGCAGGUUACUAACAAUACAUUGACGCUGAUGGACGAAAGCGUGGGGAGCGAACAGGAUUAGAUACCCUGGUAGUCCACGCCGUAAACGAUGGAUACUAGCUGUUGGGCGCAAGUUCAGUGGCUAAGCGAAAGUGAUAAGUAUCCCACCUGGGGAGUACGAACGCAAGUUUGAAACUCAAAGGAAUUGACGGGGGCCCGCACAAGCGGUGGAGCAUGUGGUUUAAUUCGAUGAUACGCGAGGAACCUUACCAAGGCUUAAAUGUAGAUUGACAGGUUUGGAAACAGACUUUUCUUCGGACAAUUUACAAGGUGCUGCAUGGUUGUCGUCAGCUCGUGCCGUGAGGUGUCAGGUUAAGUCCUAUAACGAGCGCAACCCCUGUUGUUAGUUGCCAGCGAGUCAUGUCGGGAACUCUAACGAGACUGCCAGUGCAAACUGUGAGGAAGG
rnacentral:rRNA from 1 species